UUCUUUUUCUGUCUAUUUUUGCUUAUUUGUUUUGGUAACCGCCUUUGAUUAUACUACGUGUCCUUCAUCGCCGGUGUAAACCAAUAGAAAAUUGGUUAGUGUCAACGACGCUUAUCGUUUCUAUUCCCCCAUUUUAUCCGAUGCUCCAUAGGCUACUCUUCAAAUCGACUGGCCCUCCUUCUCUUCCGAUCAAUUUCUCCACCGCUUUCUCAUUAGCACACCGCCACCGUCUCCAACCCCUUCUAGUCGUUCCCUCUUCUUUCUAUUCAUUCCUUCUUUAAGUUUUUCGCAUCGUCUUCUCUCGCUAUCUAAAGCAACGAUCUCUGCUUCCUCCCAUUACCGUAUGAACCAUCGACACACCCUCUCUUUCUCUACAUCUCACCGAUUUCCCGAAAACCCAUCAGCUACACCGAUCAAUUUCCGUUUACCCCACAGCAACCACUUGACGAUGAUGAAUUUCAACGCGCUGAAGCCCUCGCCCAUAUUUGUUACCUGAAGUAUCUUCCCAAACGAUGAAUUUUUUUUUGGAACCCACAUGUUGAAGUUUGUAAACUUUCAUUUUUGAGUGUAUAUGUGUAUGUACAAGAGGAUUAUUGACCUUCCGGUGGCAGCAACAGGAAAGACAGUUGAUACAAGAAUUGCUUAUGUCGGUGCCUAAGGUUGGGAGUAUAAUUGGACGGAAAGGAGAUAUAAUCAAAAAGAUGUGUGAAGCCACCAAAGCUCGAAUUCGCGUACUCGACGCUCCUGUUGGUACCCCUGACCACAUUGUCUUAAUCUCUGGCAAAGAAGAAACAAAGGCACCUCUCUCACCUGCCAUGGAUGUUGUAAUAAGAGUAUUUAAAAGAGUUAAUGGAUUUCCAGAGAACGAAGGUGAAAGUAUUGCAUCGGUACCAUUUUGUUCAAUCCGAUUGUUGGUGCCAUCAAUGCAAGCCAUCAGUCUGAUUGGAUUUGAAAAAAAUGCUCUUAACACAUAAGUGUUUGUGGCAGAUGUAACCCCACCACCAUUGAAGUCUCAUGCAAGAAUUAUGAGAUUCCUUCAAGCAUCUGGUAUUGAUCCUGCAAGCCUACCAAUAUCAAAUGGUACUUCUAUUGAGAGAAAUAAAAAGUUCUCAAAAUGCGUUCAAGAAUGUGUGGUUGGUAUCUGUAUUUUUGUAUUUGGAGUUAUGUAUCACAAAAAAAUGUUUUACCAUGAAAGUAAUUAUAUUUUCUUAACAAUAAAUCUGACCUUUUUUUCUAUGUGAACAAGCCUCCUACUUUCGAGAAGAUUUGUUCAAUUGCAUACCAUAUAAGAAUUCAGAGCUCCAUCAGGUGAAGGAAUAUGAGGAGGAUUGUUAUAAUUAUACGAUUUGGAGGUCUGUUUGGGUUUUGUUGUCGUUCUAUUUAGGGUUAUUUUUGGGUGAAUUUUUGUUAUUACUUUGAAGGAACAUCGAUUCAUUUUUCUAAUUUCCUUGACUUCUAUGUUGUUGUAAAUGAUACAACCCCUAAUUGCAUUGGUCAAAAGGUGAGCCUAUGGUAGUCAAUGAUGUGCUUUCAACUUCCUCAGGGCUAACAAUGAAGGUGCAGUUUCGUCUCUAAUCUAAAUGACAUCUUUACUCUUUUACCUAAAAAUGAGAGUAAAGUUACGAAACUAUAAACAAAUAUGUCCCUUUUGUAACAAGCUUUUACAUUCUGCAUGAACAAAAAGUGUAAGUGACCAUUUUACCCCUCUUUUGAUAAUAAGUUUUCUGUGUUUGAUGC